GCGGAUUGCAGUCUUUUUCGCCAUGAUAAGGGCAUAGAUUUUGUGAUCUGAGGUAAGAGUGAUAAGGGUAUAAAUAGGGAUCUAGAUAUCAUCGAUCCAGAUGGAGGAUGUGGAAGGUCCGUAGGGAUCUUGAAUGGAGGAUUUAUGAGAUAACAUUGAAGUUCCAACACACUCAUUGGAGGCGUUAUACGGGAAGAGUUGGGG
rnacentral:lncRNA from 1 species